AAACCAGUACCUCAAGUGGUCAGGAUGAUUAUUGGGCCUAAAGCAUCCGUAGCCUGCUCUGUAAGUUUUCGGUUAAAUCUGUACGCUCAACGUACAGGCUGUCGGGAAUACUGCAGAGCUAGGGAGUGGGAGAGGUAGACGGUACUCGGGAGGAAGUGGUAAAAUGCUUUGAUCUCUCGAUGACCACCUGUGGCGAAGGCGGUCUACCAGAACACGUCCGACGGUGAGGGAUGAAAGCUGGGGGAGCAAACCGGAUUAGAAACCCGAGUAGUCC
rnacentral:rRNA from 1 species